AGGGAGCCUGAGAAACGGCUACCACAUCCAAGGAAGGCAGCAGGCGCGCAACUUACCCAAUCCGAACUUCGGGAGGUAGUGACAAAAAAUAUCAAUAGGGGGACCAAUGGCCUUCCUAAUUGGAAUGAAAACAAUGUAAACAUCUUAUUGAGGAACCAGCAGAGGGCAAGUCUGGUGCCAGCAGCCGCGGUAAUUCCAGCUCUGUAAGCGUAUACCAAAGUUGUUGCAGUUAAAACGCUCGUAGUCGGAUUUUGGCGUGGUGCUUCCGAGACCCCUGAUUGGGCGUUGAGGGUAGUCCCGCCUUUGUGGAUGGGGGUGUGGUGGCACUUUGUUGGGUCGCCGCAUUUCCGCCACUGUUUACUGUGAAAAAAUUAGAGUGUUCAAAGCGAGCGAUUGCCAUGAAUACAUUAGCAUGGAAUAAUAGAAUAGGACCUGGUCCUGUUUUGUUGGUUUGUCGGUAUCAGGUAAUGAUUAAGAGGGACGGUCGGGGGCAUUUGUAUUCCAGGGUUAGAGGUGAAAUUCUUGGAUCCUUGGAAGACAAACAGCUGCGAAAGCGUCUGCCAAGGACGUUUUCAUUGAUCAAGAACGAAAGUAAGGGGAUCGAAGACGAUCAGAUACCGUCGUAGUCUUUACCAUAAACUAUGUGAAUUGAGCUUUGGUGGAGGCCUAUUUGGUUCCAUCAGCACUCUCCGGGAAACCAAAAUGUUUGCAUUCUGGGGGGAGUAUGGUCGCAAGUCUGAAACUUAAAGGAAUUGACGGAAGGGCAUCACCGGGUGUGGAGCCUGCGGCUUAAUUGACUCAACACGGGAAAACUUACCAGGUCCGGACAUAAUAAGGAUUGACAGAUUGAGAGCUCUUUCUUGNAUUCUANGGUUGGUGGUGCAUGGCCGUUCUUAGUUGGUGGAGUGAUCUGUCUGGUUAAUUCCGUUAACGAGCGAGACCUGGGCGUGCUAAAUAGGGUGCGCUAUUCUUGUAAUAACGCCGUCUUUUUUACCCUUCUUAGACGGACUGUAGGCUUUUAGCCUAUGGAAGCUCCAGGCAAUAACAGGUCUGAGAUGCCCUUAGAUGUUCUGGGCCGCACGCGUGCUACACUGAACGGUUCAAUGGGUCAGGUAGUGCGAAAGCAUGACCUAAUCUCGAAAUCCGUUCGUGCUGGGGAUAGAAGCUUGCAAUUAUCCUUCUUGAACGAGGAAUACCUUGUAAGCGUGAGUCAUCAUCUCGCGCUGAAUACGUCCCUGCCCUUUGUACACACCGCCCGUCGCUCCUACCGAUUGAGUGUUCCGGUGAGGCUUUGGGAGAACUGGAUGGAUUGUGUUUCACAAACUGUUCGGCUUGAACUUAGUCAAACCUUAUCACUUAGAGGAAGGAGAAGUCGUAACAAGGUUUCCGUAGGUGAACCUGCGGAAGGAUCAUU
rnacentral:rRNA from 1 species